rnacentral:rRNA from 1 species
GAAGGCUGAAAUUCGCCUUCAUGAAGCCGGAAUUGCUAGUAAUGGCAGGUCAGCAUACUGCCGUGAAUACGUUCCCGGGCCUUGUACACACCGCCCGUCACACCAUGAGAGUUGGGAAUACCCGAAGCCUGUGAGCUAACUUUUAGAGGCAGCAGUCGAAGGUAGAAUCAAUGAUUGGGGUGAAGUCGUAACAAGGUAGC